ensembl:lncRNA
GACAUUUCUCAUGCAUCUUCACUGAUCAGUGUAACAGCCUGCACAGCAGCCCCCACAGAAACCAGCCCUUGGUCAUCUCUGUUUGCAAAUCCUCUUUUAUCUCCAUAGUUACACUGCUCCAAGAAAGCCACGUCCGGUAAUUACAAAAGGCAUGCUGAAGCUGUAAUGCCGUUCUCUGGGUUGCAUUUGUCAAGCUUGUUGGCCGGCUUGUUUAUCGUGUGUCUCUAAAAGGCUCUUUUUUGAGACGAUUCUAAGACUUGUCUUCACUGUAUCAGGAGCCCACCUUAAUACGCGUGUUUCUUUUCACCGUUGUUUUAAACCGUACACUGAGUGAUGUAAUAAUCCCCCCCAUCAAAGCUCCCGCUGGUGUCUCCGUCCACCACUAGGUGUCAGUAGGAGCAUUGCUUUUGGGAGGCGGGAGGCUGAGAUGGGCGAUCUGGAGGGGCCGGCUGUGGGUCUCCAAGCAUUUCUUGUAAUGGCGUACAGCAGAUCUCGCUGACACCUUCUGAAGGUGAAAGAAUGAACGCCAUACCAACAAAAUAGACAACAGAGCAAAGAAACCACAUACCCACAAAAGCUGUUGACACUAAUGGUCUCAGUCCCCGUGUGAUGUGAACUGCUGGACAUUCAAGACCUCUCAUCCUGAGAUCUUUGGGAUGGAAAUGGUAUUAUUUUCCGUGCCUACAGUACCAAGCCCAGCAUGACAGACCCAGCUAAAGGCCCAAGGUGCUACGAUACACUAUUAAAGACUGUCACAGGCUACAAGAAUUCCCUUGUGCAUCUUCACUGAAUUUGUUCCAUGAUAGCAAAUAAAGAACAGUUGCUUCUCUGAGCCGAAUAUAAUCUGCCAGGCAACUGUAAAUCAGUGUUCCAUCCUUUACACGCGAG